rnacentral:rRNA from 1 species
UGAGGAAUAUUGGUCAAUGGGCGAGAGCCUGAACCAGCCAAGUAGCGUGCAGGAUGACGGCCCUCCGGGUUGUAAACUGCUUUUAGUUGGGAAUAAAAAAAGGGACUUGUCCCUUCUUGUAUGUACCUUCAGAAAAAGGACCGGCUAAUUCCGUGCCAGCAGCCGCGGUAAUACGGAAGGUCCAGGCGUUAUCCGGAUUUAUUGGGUUUAAAGGGAGCGUAGGCGGAUUGUUAAGUCAGCGGUUAAAGGGUGUGGCUCAACCAUGCAUUGCCGUUGAAACUGGCGAUCUUGAGUGCAGACAGGGAUGCCGGAAUUCGUGGUGUAGCGGUGAAAUGCUUAGAUAUCACGAAGAACUCCGAUCGCGAAGGCAGGUGUCCGGGCUGCAACUGACGCUGAGGCUCGAAAGUGUGGGUAUCAAACAGG